AAUCGCUGCGUGUGCGCGCCUCCUCGGGCCAGGGAGAGUGGUCCUGAUGCUGAGCCUCGUGAGCGCGCAUUACAUCACUUCUCUGUCGCGUGAUUGGCUGGGGAUCAAAUCAGCGAUUCCCAGCAUCCUGAAGCGAGCGGCAGCAAGUCAUCAUCACCACCACCAUCCUCCUCUUCAUCACCUCUGGGUUUAAUUACAAACAGGAAUCACACUGUUCGCGUGGCUGUGCGCGUUUUCUUGUCCCUGCUCUGGCGGCUCGUUUCGAGGAUGGCGGAGAGCGAGGCAGACACGCCGAGCACGCCGAUUGAGUUUGAGAGCAAAUACUUCGAGUUUGAUGGAGUGCGGCUGCCGCCCUUCUGCAGAGGGAAGAUGGAGGAGAUCGCCAACUUCUCCCUCAGAAGUAGCGACAUUUGGAUUGUCACCUACCCAAAGUCAGGCACCAGUCUACUUCAGGAGGUCGUGUAUCUCGUGAGUCAGGGAGCAGACCCCGACGAGAUCGGCCUGAUGAACAUCGAUGAACAGCUGCCUGUCUUAGAGUAUCCUCAACCAGGCCUGGACAUCAUACAGGAGCUGACUUCCCCGCGUCUGAUCAAAAGCCAUCUUCCUUACCGAUUCCUCCCCACAGCCAUGCACAACGGAGAGGCCAAGGUGAUCUACAUGGCUCGUAACCCGAAGGACCUGGUCGUCUCUUACUACCAGUUCCACCGCUCUCUCAGGACCAUGAGCUACCGCGGGACCUUCCAGGAGUUCUGCCGUCGCUUCAUGCAUGACAAGCUGGGAUACGGCUCCUGGUUUGAACAUGUUCAGGAAUUUUGGGAACAUCGUAUGGACUCCAAUGUUCUCUUCUUGAAAUAUGAAGACAUGUACAAGGAUGUGGGGAAUCUGGUUGAGCAGUUAGCCCGGUUCCUGGGUGUUUCCUGUGACAAGUCUCAGCUGGAGGGCAUGGUGGAGAGCUGCAACCAGCUCAUCGAGCAAUGCGGCAACUCGGAGGCGCUGUCCGUCUGCAGGGUGCAUGGAAGUCUGGUGUCUGAUCUGCUUUAAGAUAAACUCACAGCUGACAGUCAGUCUGAUCCGACUCUGAUCUGGGUCUGUCUCAGACGCCACACAGCAGGUCGUGUCGGUCUGUGGAAAGACGUCUUCACAGUCUCCAUGAACGACAAGUUUGACACCGUGUACAGACAGAAGAUGGGAAAGUCCGACCUGACGUUUGACUUCUUCCUGUGAGGAGCACCCCCCAUCGUCCCUCCUCCACCUCACCCCUCCUGACUCUCCUCCAUGGAUCUCCUUCAGAACCGUCAACAAAUCGCACACUUUCUGCCAAAACCGCCACAAACCCACACGGAUACAUCAACACUCAGUCUGAAGUUUAACCGUACAGCCUGACAGCAGGAUUACAACACAAGACUUUACCCAGAAUGCAUUUAUGUCAAAUCACAACUCAUCAAAAAAAAUAACAACCUCUGUAGAUGGAAAAGAAUCCAUGUUGGUUAGUUAAUGAUUUAAAUGCAUCAAUAACAUAGUGAAACCAAACAUCCUUCAACCCC